GAGGGAGAGUGGAGUUGAUCGUAGCCAGGAUCAAAGCCAGAGGUUCGGUACACAGGAAAUCAGGUUAGCAGAGUUCUGUAGCGAAGCGGCAACAAUGUAGCAAGUAGCGAGAGCACAUCAAACCACAAGAAUUGAUUAGGCACUUUAGAUGCGGUCGCGUCUUCCUUUUGAAGAGAAGCAUGUGACAUCAGACGCAUGGGUGGAGACUGAUCAGCGAAACCCGGAAGUCAUACGGGUAAUGCCGGUCAGAAUGAUUUUAACAUGGAGGAGUUCCAAGGAAUCCUG